AUUCUGUGCUGAGAAUUGAACCCAGUGCCUCACACCUGCUAGAGACUUGGUGAAUUUUCCCACAAAGCUGCAAUGAAGACAGAGGGAGAACAAAAUCUAUACAAAGAGAAAUUACAAGAAGGUGUGAUAUAACACUCAAACAUAUAUACUCAUUUUGACAAAACGUGUUUGGAGCUGAAUUCUUUCUCUGCAUUUGAGUCUUUAUAAGAUAAAAGUACAUACCUUUAGGGAACUAUUAGGGAACUAUUAACUCUAAAUCCCAAUACAUGAAGUUAAUUUUAAUUGGCAAAAAGUUAAUUUGACAUUAUUAUUAAAAAUAUCUUUUGGGUUUGUUCA